UGGGGAAUAUUGCACAAUGGGCGAAAGCCUGAUGCAGCAACGCCGCGUGAGUGAAGAAGUAUCUCGGUAUGUAAAGCUCUAUCAGCAGGGAAGAAAAUGACGGUACCUGACUAAGAAGCCCCGGCUAACUACGUGCCAGCAGCCGCGGUAAUACGUAGGGGGCAAGCGUUAUCCGGAUUUACUGGGUGUAAAGGGAGCGCAGACGGCACUGCAAGUCUGAAGUGAAAGCCCGGGGCUCAACCCCGGGACUGCUUUGGAAACUGUAGAGCUAGAGUGCUGGAGAGGCAAGCGGAAUUCCUAGUGUAGCGGUGAAAUGCGUAGAUAUUAGGAAGAACACCAGUGGCGAAGGCGGCUUGCUGGACAGUAACUGACGUUCAGGCUCGAAAGCGUGGGGAGCAAACA
rnacentral:rRNA from 2 species